rnacentral:rRNA from 1 species
GUGGGGAAUCUUGCGCAAUGGGCGAAAGCCUGACGCAGCCAUGCCGCGUGAAUGAUGAAGGUCUUAGGAUUGUAAAAUUCUUUCACCGGGGAAGAUAAUGACUGUACCCGGUAAAGAAACCCCGGCAAACUACGUGCCAGCAGCCGCGGUAAUACGUAGGGGGCAAGCGUUGUCCGGAAUUACUGGGCGUAAAGCGCACGCAGGCUGAAUUAUAAGUCGGUAGUCAAAGGCGGAGGCUCAACCUCUGUAUAUCUAUCGAUACUGUAAAUCUGGAGUAUGUGAGAGGGAAGCGGAAUGCCCGGUGUAGCGGUGAAAUGCGUAGAUAUCGGGAGGAACACCAGUGGCGAAGGCGGCUUCCUGGCACAAUACUGACGCUCAUGUGCGAAAGCUAGGGCAGCGAACGGGAUUAGAAACCCCGGUAGUCC